GCUUCCGCCCGCCGGGGGCGGCGCCGCGGAAUGACGCCAUCAGCGCGCGCCCCCACGGCCGCUCCCUAACCGCCGCCGCCGCCACCGGCCAGCCCCGGAGCGCCGCUGCCCGCCGCACAUGCGCGCUGCGGCGCUCGCCCGCAGGCCCGGGCCUCCCAGCAGCCCGGGCCCGGCGCGCCCGGCCUCGGUGGCCGCCGCCCGGCGAGGGGCCAUGGGCAGCAGGAUCAACUCAUAUCUAGAAUGUUGUGAGUCUAUGAAGCACCUUAGCCAUCUCUUUCACUCUUCCUAGAAGGGCAGGUGUUACAGGAAAACUUCACACUUCUGUUAUUACAAGAAUUAAGCGGCAUCCAGAAAAAGCAUCGGAUUAGCGACCUUCUGCUGAGUGGAUGGCAGCGCCAUUAAAAAUGUCUCUUCCUUCCUGGAAAUUCAGCAGAGAGUUGGCGUUUCCAGGCUGUCGGAUCUCUUCCGUCUUAAUGGAUGAUAUUUGAUAUGUGCCCUGUAAAUCCUGCCCUGGGACUCCGUGACCGGUGGGGUGCCUGAUGC